UUUUUCUUUCAUUUCACACCAGAGCGAGAAUCGAGAAGGAGCGCUUCACCAUAACAAGAAAAUAACAAUAAUGAUUUAUCAGGUCAUUGUGACGGGCUUGGAUGGACAGAAGUUUACGAUCGACUUGUGCGAGAGUGAGAAAGACUUGCAGCGAAUAACCGUGCAGGAGCUGAAAGUUAAAAUAUCAGCUAAAAUAUCAGAAAGGCUCCCCGGUGUCACAGCGCAGAUAAUAAAUGACAUGCAGCUGAUCUUCGGAAACAAAAGGUUGGAUGAGAACGACAAGCGGCUGCACGAGUAUGGAAUCAUCCACAAGUCUGCCAUCCACAUGGUGAUCUCCCUCGAUGGAGGACCGGCUUCCUGAUCGCACACACGCGGGGGGAGAGAGACGGACCGAGCGCGGCUCUUCGUCCUUCUGUUGCUCUACUCGGCAGUGCCGCACUUUACAGCAUAUAUUUUCAAUGUCUUGUUGAUUGUUUAUGCAUAAAUGUUUACGUGUA